UCUCAAGCAGCACCUAUUGGGUCUCAAGCACACACCGCGGGAGCAAUACACGUUCGUGUGUGACACGUGCAAUAGAAGGUUCCCGAGCGAGAGGCGGCGGCAGUUGCACAUCGACGUCGUGCAUCUCAACAAGAAACAGCACAAAUGUACGACGUGCGGCAAGCAGUACGCGAAGGCGUCACAGCUGCGGC